UGCCUACGGGCGGCAGCAGUGGGGAAUAUUGGGCAAUGGGCGAAAGCCUGACCCAGCAACGCCGCGUGAGGGAAGAAGGUCUUCGGAUUGUAAACCUCUGUCCUUGGGGACGAAGGAAGUGACGGUACCCAAGGAGGAAGCUCCGGCUAACUACGUGCCAGCAGCCGCGGUAAUACGUAGGGAGCGAGCGUUGUCCGGAAUUACUGGGCGUAAAGGGUGCGUAGGCGGCAAGGCAAGUCAGAUGUGAAAUCCCCGGGCUUAACUCGGGUGCUGCAUUUGAAACUGCCGUGCUUGAGUGCAGGAGAGGAAAGCGGAAUUCCUAGUGUAGCGGUGAAAUGCGUAGAUAUUAGGAGGAACACCAGUGGCGAAGGCGGCUUUCUGGACUGUAACUGACGCUGAGGCACGAAAGCGUGGGGAGCAAACAGGAUUAGAUACCCCUGUAGUCCCG
rnacentral:rRNA from 1 species